GACAGAGGGUGCAAACGUUGUUCGGAAUGACUGGGCGUAAAGCGCGUGUAGGCGGCCUCGCAAGUCGGGUGUGAAAGCCCUGGGCUCAACCCAGGAAGUGCACUCGAAACUGCAAGGCUUGAGUCCCGGAGAGGAAAGCGGAAUUCUCGGUGUAGAGGUGAAAUUCGUAGAUAUCGAGAGGAACACCGGUGGCGAAGGCGGCUUUCUGGACGGCGACUGACGCUGAGGCGCGAAAGCCAGGGGAGCGAACGGG
rnacentral:rRNA from 1 species